AAAUGAAUUAUGUUUAAUGGUGACAAUUUCUUAAUAGGGAAUCUGGUGUAAGUCCAGAACUGUCCUCGCAACUGUAAGUGCAGACGAAAUAGCUGAUAUCACUGUACGUAUUACGUAUGGGAAGAGGCUAAAGUAGAAGUAAAGCACAAGUCAGGAGACCUGCCAUUAUUCAUCUAUAUUC
rnacentral:ncRNA from 2 species